rfam:Schistocephalus solidus strain NST_G2 genome assembly, scaffold: SSLN_scaffold0012861
GAACCCGUGGCUCAAUGGUUAGAGCGUUGGACUUCUGAUCAACGGGUCGCGGGUUCG